UCGGGAAUUUUGGGCAAUGGGCGAAAGCCUGACCCAGCAACGCCGCGUGAAGGAUGAAGUAUUUCGGUAUGUAAACUUCGAAAGAAUAGGAAGAAUAAAUGACGGUACUAUUUAUAAGGUCCGGCUAACUACGUGCCAGCAGCCGCGGUAAUACGUAGGGACCAAGCGUUGUUCGGAUUUACUGGGCGUAAAGGGCGCGUAGGCGGCAAUUCAAGUCAUCUGUGAAAUCUCCGGGCUUAACUCGGAACGGUCAGAUGAUACUGCUUUGCUAGAGUGCAGAAGGGGCAAUCGGAAUUCUUGGUGUAGCGGUGAAAUGCGUAGAUAUCAAGAGGAACACCUGAGGUGAAGACGGGUUGCUGGGCUGACACUGACGCUGAGGCGCGAAAGCCAGGGGAGCAAACGGGAUUAGAUACCCAGGUAGUCCUGAGCGGGCUGGCAAGGCGCAU
rnacentral:rRNA from 1 species